ensembl:lncRNA
GGGUUCUGGGGAAGGCAGGGCUCAAUGGCACUGUUCUGCUGGGCGUCAGCAUCAGAGGAACCUCUGAUUGUGUGACGGAGUUGUAACAGUACAGAUCUGCACAGUAAGGAGAGCUGGUGCCAAACUGUGCUCCCGGGGGAGGGAAUGUCCCUUCCCCCUUACGUUCUUAAUAUAUCCAUUACGAUUAAUAUUGUGACCGAGGAAAUACUCUUAUUACAAAUAGAUGGUGAUGGCAGAGCUGCAGAAUUAAGUGGUGCUGGGCGCCACUUAUCUGAUUAGCGGGUGCUUUCAGCAGGGCCAUUAUCCUGAUGUGUUACACCUCCCAUCACACCGACAUCAGGCUGGCUGUGUGUGAGGGGAUGAGCGAGAAGUGUUGGGCACAACCCUUGUUCCGCUGGGAAGUCCGUCUCCCAUUGCCUGGAGGACCAGGGGGCUCAAUUAGAGCUCCCAGCAAUAACUGAGUUGAGGACGGGGUGGGGUGAGGAGCCCACAUGCGGCCGCUAUGAGACCUCACUGAGACUGAUGGGCACGUCCUGCUCAAGCACCACCAGGCAACACUUUGGCCAUGGCCACGCUGGGCUGUGUUGUGUGACAGAGGCACCGCUGUCCCUCUUUCACCCCUCACUGCUGCCCCUCCUCUCCCACCCCCUCCGCUGCUCCUCGUGGUGCUGCCGCCGCCGGAGGGCUCCUCGCAGCAGCUCCCAAUUAAGACCUACUUAAAAUUCAAAUGCAAAUAAAUUUUUAAUUACCUUAAUUAGAAUGAUUCUCUUGUUAGAGCUGAAGGAUGGGGUCCGAAGAGCAGAAAGGGCGGGAUGUGCCUGGCCACGUUAGAGGGGACCGAGGCAGCACCUGCAGGUUUGGAGCUGGAGCUCAGCAGCCUUUGCACCUCGGUGGGCAAAAUCCACCUACGUGGCAGGUGCAGAUAUUGCAGCUCCAGGUAUGGCCAAGGCUGGAGGCAAGGAAUUGCUUCCAGCAGCCCCUGGAAUAUCACUGCUGUGCCCUCCGUGUAUCUGCUCUCUUCCCCCGGUUGCUGCCUUUGGAAGCUUCCAAUAGAUUUCUCUAAAUUAAAAAUAAUUUACCCUUUAAAACCAGCAGGUGAGGGAAGAACCCGCCGUGUGCAGCGCUGCAGCUUAUUGCCCCGUGUGUUUGUGCUGCUGGCAGCACGCUUGUCAGCUGUGCACACGGAAUGACUUAUGCCAUCACUGCCACUGGUAGCAAUCCAGCCUGGAAUAAUGAAACAGCCAUGGCGCCCAUGAUUUAUUAAUUAGUGCCAAAGGAUUUAUGCAGGUAAGGGCAUUAUGUGAGUGGUUGGCAUGUUUUUAACCACAUUUCCUGCACUGAGAAAAAGAAUGGGCCGAUGUGCCUGGCCCAUGGGGUGCAUUCCUAUGGCUGUGGCCAGCACAGACACUGCGGCCCUUGCAGAGGUCCCCAGUGAGAGGCACCCUGGGGUCCCCAUUCACCAUGCUGAGCUCUGGGAACACUGCCCCACUGCUCUGUGCUGUAAUGUGUGGAAUCCCAGUGACUCCCCAUUUGCAGGAAGCCGAGAUGAGCUCCAGAUGAGGGCAGUGCCAUUUGCUGCAGAUGAGCGGUGCUUUGGUGGGAAUUCAAUUACACGAUUUUUCCUUGCUGCACAUCAUGCAUUCUGACGACGCGGUGGUUUCGGCACUAAUGAGAUGCGUCUUAACUGCUGUGAAGCUGUAUUUCUCCCUGCUCUUAGUACCUGGGAUCCAUAUUAAUUACAGUUUCAGUAGAGAAAAAGCCCACAGAGUCACUGCCCACACUUUGCUCCCGGUAACAGCCGCCUCCUCGCAUUGCUGGGAGCGCUGCGGAUCCACUGCAGAGCCGUGGUUGGUGCCUCGCAACCCCAUGGUGGUGGGAUGGAACAGCGGGGCGAGGGGUGCUCCCAGCAUGGGCGGAUGCAGCCGCACACAGUGGGAGAUGCUCAGCAUCAAAGAGACAUAGAGCUUGUUUUUAGAGGCUUCUAUUGGAAGCAGGGGUUUGGUGCUGGGUAAGCUGGUGGGUGUCCCAUCCCCGUGAUGGGCGCUGGGAUGAGCAGUGUCUCAUUUGAUGCCCUCCUGCAGAGGCUCUGUGCUGGAGACACAGUGCUGAUGGUGGAUGCUUUUAUUCCCGUUAGCAAGGCUUGAUGGAGGAUGUGAGGACAUUGGAGCCAUGUGGAGCUGUUUGGCCUCUGAGUCCAGUGUUAUGGGUCCCAUCUGACUGCCCAGGGCUCACCUCAAUGCCCACUCGCUGUUACAUGCUGCUCUCUUGCCCCCCAAGAACAAUUGCUGCCCAAACGCUGCUCCCCCCUUCUCUCUGCCACCAGCAGCCCUCUCUGGUCAUCCCAUGGCAGAGGUAGCAGUGUGCCCUCCUGUCCAUCCUGGGGAGAGUGAAGUGCUGAGCCCACUGAAGGUCCCCAAGGUGCAGCACCAGCAUCUCAUUGCAGCUAAAGCACCGUCCCAAGCCCUGAUGCCUUUCUGUUGUUGCAGUUCCCUUUGUUGGGCUCAGCUGUGCUCACCAUCUCUGUGUCCCUACCCCAGCACCACCACCACCACCAUGCAUGUGCUGUGGGGCUGCCGCAGGGCUCAUUCAGCUGGAGACACCCACCUGCAUGAGGCACUACUGAUGGCAUUGGUCCUUAUGGGGAUAUCUGUCCUGUACAAGCAAGACGGGAGCGGGAGAAGGGGAAGUCACACCUACUGAAGGGGUUUUACAGCUCACAGAUGUAAACAGAAGGAGGGAGAACUCACUUCAGUUAUAAAAAUGUGGAAAUACCCAGAAGUAGUAAAGGAAAAGCAGCAAAACAUGAAGUUGGAGUAAUGUGAGGGUAGAGACUUCACUGUUUCUUUUCCAGGCUGGAUGUGGCUCUGGGCAGCCUGGUCUGCUGGUUGGUGACCCUGCCUGUGGAAGGGGGUUGAAACGAGAUGAUCACUGUGGUCCUUUUCAACCCAGGCCAUUCUGUGAUUCUUUUAAAACAAACAGCUCGCUGGCUGGUUCAGGUAGUUCAAUUUUUCCUUAAAUCUCUGGCUUGGUGUACACUGAGGAUGCUUUAAUGGCAGCCGGUAGCAAGCACUGGGCCAGUAAUUAGGGGGAAGGCAAUGAAAGUAUUUGGGGGUAGGUGCAGGGUGGUAUCUCACCUGAGGACACUUUGCUUUUAGUGACUGCAGUGAAAUGGAUUUGAAUAUCCCUGAGGUCAACUCCAUCCCUGCGUACUAAGCCAUCCCACCUUUCCACCCUUUUCUCCCCCAAAAUGCUUCAGGGUCUUUGUUGAAAAGAAAUAGCUGUCAUCUGUUCAGCCUUCAUGAACAUUUCCACAUCCUCUGUAAUAACCAUCUCUUCUGGGAAGAGAGAGGACCUUGCAAAUGCCAUAUGCCCGGAGUUGUUCUCAUUGCAGCUCCCCAAAAGGACUGAAAAUCUCCUAAGCAACCUGGCUUACCCUGGGUACCAACCUGGCUUCGUUCACCAAUAGAGAAUGAAUUGUUUGCAUCCAUUUCCAAGAAGCAGCUGUGCUUUUGAGGGAAUACAGACCCAUUUGGCUUAUUUCAUCAGUCUGAAAGUUGCCGGAAAGGAUGGAGGAAGGAGCUCUGAUAACGGAAUAAACUGUAUAGAAGAUGUGAAAAGGCAGCUGCACUCCCUCUGGCAGCAAAAACAUUUGUUUCAGGCCUUUCUAGCAGGUUAUGUAUGGAGAAGUGGGCACUCCUGCACUCUUCGGAGCAUGGCUGGUGGAAAGAGCCAUCCUUUUGCCUCCAUCAGAAAGCAAUUAUGGACAUCUAGCACAGCCAUAUGGCACCAUGACCGUCCAGUUCUGGGGCUGCCCUGUAAGUGAACAUCCCAUUCUCCACAAUCCAAAGCUACCACGUUGAUGUUAGGCACUACGAAGGCCUAAGACAGGUGCAGUACUGACACCAUCCUCCUCUUCAAGGUCAGCCAUCCAUUUGGGGUUUUUAGGGAGUCAAAUUGCACUCAUGAAUAAUUCAUUCUACAAACUUUUCAACCUUCACCAAAAUGAUUUGUGAAUAAAUGUUUUCAUUACUUGGCUGGCUCUGUGGAUGGAUGAAUAAUAUCC